AACGAACGCUGGCGGCAUGCCUAACACAUGCAAGUCGAACGAGACCUUCGGGUCUAGUGGCGCACGGGUGCGUAACGCGUGGGAACCUGCCCUUAGGUUCGGAAUAACUCCCCGAAAGGGGUGCUAAUACCGGAUAAUGUCUUCGGACCAAAGAUUUAUCGCCUUUGGAUGGGCCCGCGUUGGAUUAGCUAGUUGGUAGGGUAAAAGCCUACCAAGGCGACGAUCCAUAGCUGGUCUGAGAGGCUGAUCAGCCACACUGGGACUGAGACACGGCCCAGACUCCUACGGGAGGCAGCAGUGGGGAAUAUUGGACAAUGGGCGAAAGGCUGAUCCAGCAAUGCCGCGUGAGUGAUGAAGGCCUUAGGGUUGUAAAGCUCUUUUACCCGGGAUGAUAAUGACAGUACCGGGAGAAUAAGCUCCGGCUAACUCCGUG
rnacentral:rRNA from 1 species